GAUGAACGCUGGCGGCGUGCCUAAUACAUGCAAGUCGAGCGAACAGACGAGGAGCUUGCUCCUCUGACGUUAGCGGCGGACGGGUGAGUAACACGUGGAUAACCUACCUAUAAGACUGGGAUAACUUCGGGAAACCGGAGCUAAUACCGGAUAAUAUAUUGAACCGCAUGGUUCAAUAGUGAAAGACGGUUUUGCUGUCACUUAUAGAUGGAUCCGCGCCGCAUUAGCUAGUUGGUAAGGUAACGGCUUACCAAGGCGAAGAUGCGUAGCCGACCUGAGAGGGUGAUCGGCCACACUGGAACUGAGACACGGUCCAGACUCCUACGGGAGGCAGCAGUAGGGAAUCUUCCGCAAAGGGCGAAAGCCUGACGGAGCAACGCCGCGUGAGUGAUGAAGGUCUUCGGAUCGUAAAACUCUGUUAUUAGGGAAGAACAAAUGUGUAAGUAACUAUGCACGUCUUGACGGUACCUAAUCAGAAAGCCACGGCUAACUACGUG
rnacentral:rRNA from 1 species